UACGUAGGAGACGAGCGUUGUCCGGAGUUACUGGGCGUAAAGGGUGCGCAGGUGGCGGCGCGCGUGGGGGGUGAAAUCGCCCGGCUUAACUGGGCGGGGGCCUUCCAGACGGCGUGGCUUGAGCAGCGGAGGGGGACGUGGAAUUCCGGGUGUAGCGGUGGAAUGCGUAGAGAUCCGGAAGAACACCGGUGGCGAAGGCGGUUAGCUGGGCAGUUGCUGACACUGAGGCGCGACAGCGUGGGGAGCAAACAGG
rnacentral:rRNA from 1 species